rnacentral:rRNA from 1 species
CAUGCAAGUCGAACGAAACUUCUUUAUCACCGAGUGCUUGCACUCACCGAUAAAGAGUUGAGUGGCGAACGGGUGAGUAACACGUGGGCAACCUGCCCAAAAGAGGGGGAUAACACUUGGAAACAGGUGCUAAUACCGCAUAACCAUAGUUACCGCAUGGUAACUAUGUAAAAGGUGGCUAUGCUACCGCUUUUGGAUGGGCCCGCGGCGCAUUAGCUAGUUGGUGGGGUAAAGGCUUACCAAGGCAAUGAUGCGUAGCCGAACUGAGAGGUUGAUCGGCCACAUUGGGACUGAGACACGGCCCAAACUCCUACGGGAGGCAGCAGUAGGGAAUCUUCCACAAUGGGCGAAAGCCUGAUGGAGCAACGCCGCGUGGGUGAAGAAGGUCUUCGGAUCGUAAAACCCUGUUGUUAGAGAAGAAAGUGCGUGAGAGUAACUGUUCACGUUUCGACGGUAUCUAACCAGAAAGCCACGGCUAACUACGUGCCAGCAGCCGCGGUAAUACGUAGGUGGCAAGCGUUAUCCGGAUUUAUUGGGCGUAAAGGGAACGCAGGCGGUCCUUUUAAGUCUGAUGUGAAAGCCUUCGGCUUAACCGGAGUAGUGCAUUGGAAACUGGGAGACUUGAGUGCAGAAGAGGAGAGUGGAACUCCAUGUGUAGCGGUGAAAUGCGUAGAUAUAUGGAAGAACACCAGUGGCGAAAGCGGCUCUCUGGUCUGUAACUGACGCUGAGGUUCGAAAGCGUGGGUAGCAAACAGGAUUAGAUACCCUGGUAGUCCACGCCGUAAACGAUGAAUGCUAAGUGUUGGAGGGUUUCCGCCCUUCAGUGCUGCAGCUAACGCAAUAAGCAUUCCGCCUGGGGAGUACGACCGCAAGGUUGAAACUCAAAGGAAUUGACGGGGGCCCGCACAAGCGGUGGAGCAUGUGGUUUAAUUCGAAGCAACGCGAAGAACCUUACCAGGUCUUGACAUCUUUUGCCAAUCCUAGAGAUAGGACUUUCCCUUCGGGGACAAAAUGACAGGUGGUGCAUGGUUGUCGUCAGCUCGUGUCGUGAGAUGUUGGGUUAAGUCCCGCAACGAGCGCAACCCUUAUUGUUAGUUGCCAGCAUUAAGUUGGGCACUCUAGCAAGACUGCCGGUGACAAACCGGAGGAAGGUGGGGAUGACGUCAAAUCAUCAUGCCCCUUAUGACCUGGGCUACACACGUGCUACAAUGGACGGUACAACGAGUCGCAAGACCGCGAGGUUUAGCAAAUCUCUUAAAGCCGUUCUCAGUUCGGAUUGUAGGCUGCAACUCGCCUACAUGAAGUCGGAAUCGCUAGUAAUCGCGGAUCAGAUGCGGGGGGGGAAAAAAUACUUUCCGGGGCCUUGUACACACCGCCCGUCACACCAUGAAGAGUUUGUAACACCCAAAGCCGGUGGGGUAACCUUUUGGAGCCAGCCGUCUAA